CAAAAAGCAAAGAGAAGAGGGAGAUUGAACUUACUCCUCCCCAUCACCAUUGCAGAGCACAUGAAAAGCACAACCAUUUUCAUAAUACUAUCUGAGAACAAGAAAGGACGACCAUUGUUUCUGGUGGUGACGUGAACAGGUUAGCAUUAGCAUACUGGGUGCUUGGAUCAACAACCCCUUUGUCAAUACUCCAUGCAUUUUUCAUUGGAUCAACAAAACCUUUAUUUUUUUUUUCCUUCACACCAUCAGUGGACAGAAGACACGGUUGAGGUGAGUGGGAGUCCACGUUCUGUGCACCAGUGGGUUCAGUAGAUGCAUGCAUCGGUGGCCUUUGACCGUUAACAUGGGAUGGCCGGUUCAACCAGACACAAAAAGACAAAAAACAAAUGAAAAACUCCUGGUCCACGUUCCUCCACCGAACCCUACCCACACACCGGUGCGGUGACCCAAACCAGCAGCCAUCGGCGGCGAGAACUCUAGCGAUACAUUUUCUGGCCUCCUCCUCCUCUUCUUCUUCUUCUUACAAAACAAAGGCUUUCCUAUUUUCUCUUUUCAACAGAGCGAAGCCUUACACCAGCGGGAUUCUCCAAGCGAACGGAGAAACAAGGAACACCUUUUUACGAGGAUGCUAGACAACGUACCGACGAUGGCCGGUGUGGUGUGCUCGCCGAUGUGUGGGGUAGGAGGGUUCAGUAGAGGAGAAAAGAGAAAAUGAGAGGAACUGAGAGGGGUUUCAAUUUAGCUUUUGUCGUUUUGUGUUUGGUUCAACCGCACACUCCAAUUAACGUCCACUUGUCCGUUAACGUUAGCCCAUCGUUGCAAAGACGACGUGGUCGUCUCUCAUUGGCAGGUUCAUUUGUUCCGUGAGCCCACGGGUUCACAGAACACGGACUCGAUGAAUGGGGCCCUAAUCAUAAUUGCUUUCUUGUUUUGCGUUUAUCCAAUCAAAACCUUCCUGAAUUUCUUGUUUUGACUUUUCAUUCCUUUUUCUACCUUUUCAGCUUUUCUUUCAAACCAAUGGCAGCCUUAAUGAAAAUAUAUGUACCGAGAUCUUCACUGCAAUUGUUGUGAGGAUA